rnacentral:rRNA from 1 species
GAAGAGGAUAGGCCAUGGAAGGGUACAGCGACUCCGUGUCAUGACACUGAUCGGCAACUCUUCUCCAGCUGCACUUGCAUCGAGUUGGGAGAUGGUAGUGUUGCAACCUUCUGGAAAGAUCGGUGUCUCAAUGGAGAGGCCCCACAGCACCUAGCACCGGAUAUCUUCAAGCUGGCUAGAUGUAAACGGCUCACGGUCAAAGAGGCUAUAAGCACUGGGCGAUGGAUGCAAGGUAUACAACGAAUGGACAGCCACGAGCAACUAUGUCAAUUUGUUGGCCUGUGGGAAAAAUUGCAGCUGGUGAACUUGUCAACUCAAAGGGACAAAAUCAAGUGGAAUAUCUCUGCCAAUGGAAGAUACUCGGCGAGUUCUGCUUAUGAGGUCCAAUUCUCUGCCAGGAUUGAGCAGCCCGGGAUUGCUCGGGUGUGGAGGAGCAAGCUAGAAGGGAAGGUGAAGUUCUACAUGUGGCUUCUGUUGCAGAACAGAAACUGGACUGCCGACCGCUUACAGGUGAGAGGAUGGCUACACAACGCCUCUUGCAAACUUUGUGACCAGGAGCAGGAGACCGCGGUGCAUAUCACGCUUCAAUGCUGUUAUGCGAGAGAGGUCUGGCAUCUCUUCCUUGGUGCCAAUGACAGGGUGUACAAUGGUGUGUCUUCGGCAAGUUCAGUUUCAGAUUGGUGGAAGAUGCUUUGUACGCAAAGAGGAGCGCCAGAAAGGACGGAGGAAGAGAUAACUCUGUCGGCGUACAUCGCAUGGCACCUAUGGAAGGAGAGAAACCGUCGAGUUUUUGAGGAUUAA